UGGGGAAUAUUGCACAACGGGCGCAAGCCUGAUGCAGCGACGCCGCGUGAGGGAUGACGGCCUUCGGGUUGUAAACCUCUUUCAGCUCCGACGAAGCGCAAGUGACGGUAGGAGCAGAAGAAGCACCGGCCAACUACGUGCCAGCAGCCGCGGUAAUACGUAGGGUGCAAGCGUUGUCCGGAAUUACUGGGCGUAAAGAGCUCGUAGGCGGUUUGUCGCGUCGUCUGUGAAAUUCUGCAGCUUAACUGCAGGCGUGCAGGCGAUACGGGCAGACUUGAGUACUACAGGGGAGACUGGAAUUCCUGGUGUAGCGGUGAAAUGCGCAGAUAUCAGGAGGAACACCGGUGGAGAAGGCGGGUCUCUGGGUAGUAACUGACGCUGAGGAGCGAAAGCGUGGGUAGCGAACAGG
rnacentral:rRNA from 1 species